rnacentral:lncRNA from 1 species
UUUCUUGUUAGUAAGAAACUCUGACUUGCUUCCAGACAACGAAGCCAUAUUCGGCGAGAAGUUUUGCAGAGAAAAUCUUCUGUGAUACUUCUGAAUGCUUUGUCAUAACAGCCCUCAGUUCGGCCGUUCUUCGGUAGUACUGUUGACUGACUUUAUUCCUAAUGAAACCCCACAAAGCAUUGUUUGGAGUAGACUGUUGUAACUCCAUUGUGGCCAGACCAAGGGAGUCCGUGCUGCCUCCAAUUUAUGUUCAAUCCACUUGUUUGAAAACAAUUAAGAUAUUCUCGAAUUUUGAUAUCAAAAUGCGAAGGGGCUCCGUCUUGUUGCAGGAUAUUCUGAACACACAAUGUUCAAUGUAUAUUGUGAUAUAAAGCAAAUGGCAGUAUCUGUUG